CCUCCUGAGGGGAUAGGGCCGGACGGGUGGAGUUACGCGUGGGUAACCUGCCUCAUACACAUGGUAUAACAUACCGAAAGGUAUGCUAAUACAGGAUAAUAUAAGAGAUUCACAUGUAUUUCUUAUCAAAGCUCCGGCGGUAUGAGAUGGACCCGCGUCUGAUUAGCUAGUUGGUAAGGUAACGGCUUACCAAGGCGACGAUCAGUAGCCGACCUGAGAGGGUGAUCGGCCACAUUGGAACUGAGACACGGUCCAAACUCCUACGGGAGGCAGCAGUGGGGAAUAUUGCACAAUGGGCGAAAGCCUGAUGCAGCAACGCCGCGUGAGUGAUGAAGGCCUUCGGGUCGUAAAACUCUGUCCUCAAGGAAGAUAAUGACGGUACUUGAGGAGGAAGCCCCGGCUAACUACGUGCCAGCAGCCGCGGUAAUACGUAGGGGGCUAGCGUUAUCCGGAUUUACUGGGCGUAAAGGGUGCGUAGGUGGUUUCUUAAGUCAGGAGUGAAAGGCUACGGCUCAACCGUAGUAAGCUCUUGAAACUGGGAGACUUGAGUGCAGGAGAGGAAAGUGGAAUUCCUAGUGUAGCGGUGAAAUGCGUAGAUAUUAGGAGGAACACCAGUAGCGAAGGCGGCUUUCUGGACUGUAACUGACACUGAGGCACGAAAGCGUGGCGGAGCGAACAAGGAUUAGAUACCCUGGGUAGUCCCACGCCGUAAAACGAGGUAGUUCUACGUGUUCGGGGGGUUUACCCCCCCUUGGUGCCCCGCUAGGCUAAACAGAAUUAAAGUUUACUUCCCCCCUUGGGUGGAGCUGUCUGCCGUUA
rnacentral:rRNA from 1 species